UACGGAGUGGGCUAGCGUUGUUCGGAAUUACUGGGCGUAAAGCGCACGUAGGCGGCUUUGUAAGUUAGAGGUGAAAGCCCGGAGCUCAACUCCGGAAUUGCCUUUAAGACUGCAUCGCUAGAAUUGUGGAGAGGUGAGUGGAAUUCCGAGUGUAGAGGUGAAAUUCGUAGAUAUCUGGAGGAACACCGGUGGCGAAGGCGGCAUUCUGGACCGAUAUUGACGCUGAGGAGCGAAAGCCAGGGGAGCAAACGGG
rnacentral:rRNA from 1 species